rnacentral:rRNA from 1 species
UACGUAGGGUGCGAGCGUUACUCGGAAUUACUGGGCGUAAAGGGCGCGUAGGCGGUCUUGUAAGUCUUGUGUGAAAUCCCUCGGCUCAACUGAGGAACCGCACGGGAUACUGCGAGACUUGAGUUCGGGAGAGGGAAGCGGAAUUCCGGGUGUAGCGGUGAAAUGCGUAGAGAUCCGGAGGAAGACCGGUGGCGAAGGCGGUCUGCUGGGCAGUUUCUGACACUGAGGCGCGACAGCGUGGGGAGCAAACAGG